AAUGAAAAAUAAGACUUGGUUCCUUAUUCUGUGUUCUUAAACAGUAACAUUUCUAAAAGGCUCAACACACUUGAAUCACUACAACUGGUGGCUUUAAGAUGUUAACAGGUAAAAAGGAAGAACCAAUCUGCUUGAAGAACAGUGAAACUGUUAACAUCUCAAUGAUGGACACUUCUCAGAGUUCACCAUCCCAGAGCUCUUCGACGGUCUUAUAGGCACCAUAGGUCUCGUCAGUACAAAAUGUGCCCUUAAUUAGCCUAUCCUGCAUGACCAAAUUCCUUUUGUUAAUUCAAAAAAUCAAGCUUUAAGGCCACUUCUGGGAUUAUAAUGCUAUGGCACACAAGCAUCAUACAAGGUAGUUAAAGAUGGUAAGGAACUACAUACCAGAAACACCUUAGGAGGUAGGGUUUAAUUGAAUCUUUUAAACUAGAAAAAAACUUUUGAAAAAGAAAUCAAACACACCCUAACUAAGUAACUACUUGCCUGGUUAAUUUCAGAGAAUUUGGCCAUUAGUUCUUCUGGAAUAGACCAGUCAAAAAC
rnacentral:lncRNA from 1 species